AACCAUAGAAACCUGCGGAGUACCUGCGGAAGGAUCAUUAUCGAGUUGCAAAACUCCAACCCUUUGUGAACAUACCUCAGUCGUUGCUUCGGCGGCGGACGGCCUUUUUUCGAAAAGGCCCGAAGCCGCCGGAGGUUCCAAACUCGUGUUUUGUUUAGUGUAUCUCUGAGCCUGAAAACAAAUAAUCAAAACUUUUAGCAAUGGAUCU
rnacentral:misc_RNA from 1 species